AGGAGUGUAGCUCAGUUGGUAGAGCGUCGGUCUCCAAAACCGAAUGUCGUGGGUUCGAGUCCCUCCACUCCUGCCA
rnacentral:tRNA from 1 species